rnacentral:rRNA from 1 species
GACGAACGCUGGCGGCGUGCUUAACACAUGCAAGUCGAGCGGUAAGGCCCUUUCGGGGGUACGACGAGCGGCGAACGGGUGAGUAACACGUGGGUGACCUGCCCUCAGCUCUGGGAUAAGCCUGGGAAACCGGGUCUAAUACCGGAUAUGACUCCAUGACGCAUGUUGUGGGGUGGAAAGCCUUGUGCGGCUGAGGAUGGGCCCGCGGCUAUCAGCUUGUUGGUGGGGUGAUGGCCUACCAAGGCGACGACGGGUAGCCGGCCUGAGAGGGCGACCGGCCACACUGGGACUGAGACACGGCCCAGACUCCUACGGGAGGCAGCAGUGGGGAAUCUUGCGCAAUGGGCGAAAGCCUGACGCAGCGACGCCGCGUGAGGGAUGACGGCCU